rnacentral:rRNA from 1 species
AUGCACGCGUUUCAGCAGUUCUACCACCUGGCCGGGCAGAAUUUUGGGGCUCUCAACACUACGAUCAUCGCGCUCAUCCCCAAGAAAGACGGAGCAAGCUACAUUGUUGACUACAGACCAAUUAGCCUGAUCCAUUCAAUUGCGAAGUUGAUCUCCAAAGUUCUCUCGCUCCGUCUAGCCUCUGUGGUGCAAUCUAUAAUCUCGCCCGCACAGACGGCUUUCCUGAAGACCAGAUGCCUGCACGACAGCUUUGUAUACGUCCAAAACUGCGUCAAGAGCCUGCACCGCAGUAAAACACCGGCGGUCCUCCUGAAACUUGACAUCUCGAGAGCCUUUGACAAUGUCUCCUGGGAGUAUCUACUAGAGUUGCUCACAAGACUAGGGUUGAGUGCAUGCUGGUGGGAUUGGAUUUCGCUCCUCCUCGCCACCUCAUCAUCGGCCAUCCUCCUCAACGGGUCACCAGGCGCGCGCAUCCUCCAUCGACGGGGCCUCAGACAGGGAGACCCACUGUCCCCCCUCCUCUUCAUAAUCACGAUCGACCCCAUCCAUCGCCUGCUGCAAGCUGCCGAGGAAGCCCUGAGAUCAUGCCAGUUCCUCGUAGGGAGGUAA